GGAUGUGAUUAUACAAGCACUAAAGCACCAGAUCCCAUCAAAACUCCGAAGUUAAGCGUGCUUGGGCAAGAGUAGUACUAGGAUGGGUGGCCUCUUGGGAAGUCCUCGUGUUGCAUUGC
rfam:Triticum urartu cultivar G1812 contig1160106, whole genome shotgun sequence.